rnacentral:rRNA from 1 species
AGUGAACGCUGGCGGUAGGCCUAACACAUGCAAGUCGAACGGCAGCACAGAGGAGCUUGCUCCUUGGGUGGCGAGUGGCGGACGGGUGAGGAAUACAUCGGAAUCUACUCUGUCGUGGGGGAUAACGUAGGGAAACUUACGCUAAUACCGCAUACGACCUACGGGUGAAAGCAGGGGAUCUUCGGACCUUGCGCGAUUGAAUGAGCCGAUGUCGGAUUAGCUAGUUGGCGGGGUAAAGGCCCACCAAGGCGACGAUCCGUAGCUGGUCUGAGAGGAGGGUCGGCCACACUGGAACUGAGACACGGUCCAGACUCCUACGGGAGGCAGCAGUGGGGAAUAUUGGACAAUGGGCGCAAGCCUGAUCCAGCCAUACCGCGUGGGUGAAGAAGGCCUUCGGGUUGUAAAGCCCUUUUGUUGGGAAAGAAAUCCAUCUGGUUAAUACCCGGGUGGGAUGACGGUACCCAAAGGAUAAGCACCGGCUAACUUCGUGCCAGCCGCCGCUGUAA